CAGGGCUCCGCCGCCGUCCUCCACCGACCACCCCAAAAUCCCCAAGGUGGAGGCAGAAACUUCAAACAAUCAGAUGCGUCGUUGUUAUGACUGUUAUUACGAGUACCACAGGUGCAUCAUAGAAAAGGGAAAAGAGGCACCAGAAUGCGUAAAGGUUGCAAAGUAUUACAAAUCGAUG